ACAAUGCUCAGAUCGGGAGGUGGAGCCAAUCAGGUCCAACCAAGAGGAGGGGACACCGGCACUCCACUAGCAGGAAAACGGGCAGAGGGACCGCAAGCAGGGGGUGCCUAGUCCUCGUCCCCCAAAGACCAAUCGUAAGCCAGAUACAGGCGAGUGACUGUCAAGAAGGCCAAUUAGAGCCUCCGAAGGGAAUCUGGACCUGCCUCUUCUCUGAGGGACGGCUCUACCUACCAAUAGCAUGGGCGAGAAGGCGGUCCCUUUGCUAAGGAGGAGGCGGGUGAAGAGAAGCUGCCCUUCUUGUGGCUCGGAGCUUGGGGUUGAAGAGAAGAGGGGGAAAGGAAAUCCGAUUUCCAUCCAGUUGUUCCCCCCAGAGCUGGUGGAGCAUAUCAUCUCAUUCCUCCCAGUCAGAGACCUUGUUGCCCUCGGCCAGACCUGCCGCUACUUCCACGAAGUGUGCGAUGGGGAAGGCGUGUGGAGACGCAUCUGUCGCAGACUCAGUCCGCGCCUCCAAGAUCAGGGUUCUGGAGUCCGGCCCUGGAAGAGAGCUGCCAUUCUGAACUACACGAAGUGCCUGUAUUUCCAGGCAUUUGGAGGCCGCCGCCGAUGUCUCAGCAAGAGCGUGGCCCCCUUGCUAGCCCACGGCUACCGCCGCUUCUUGCCCACCAAGGAUCACGUCUUCAUUCUUGACUACGUGGGGACCCUCUUCUUCCUCAAAAAUGCCCUGGUCUCCACCCUCGGCCAGAUGCAGUGGAAGCGGGCCUGUCGCUAUGUUGUGUUGUGUCGUGGAGCCAAGGAUGUGAGUAGCAGAACCCUGGCAGCUGAGAGCCCACCUGUAUUAGUCCAUUUUCACACUGCUAUAAAGACGUACCAGAGGCCGGGUGCAGUGGCUUACACCUGUAAUCCUAGCACUUUGGGAGGCUGAGGCAGGCGGAUCAGCUGAGACCAGGAGUUCGAGACCAGCCUGGCCAACAUGGCGAAACCCGUCUCUACUAAAAAUACAAAAAUUAGCUGGGUGUGGUGGUGGGUGCCUAUAAUUCCAGUUACUUGGGAGGCUGAGGCAGGAGAAUCGCUUGAACUUGGGAGGCAGAGGCUGCAGUGAGCUGAGAUCGCACCCUUGCACUCCAGCCUGGGCAACAAGAGCGAGACUCCGUCUCGAAAAAAAAAGACAUACCUGAGACCGGUUUGCCUCGGACCCAAGGUGUGACACAGUUUACCGUAAAUACCUCUAUGUCUUGGCCACUCGGGAGCAGCAGGAAGUGGUGGGUACCACCAGCAGCCGGGCCUGUGACUGUGUUGAGGUCUAUCUGCAGUCUAGUGGGCAGCGGGUCUUC
rnacentral:sRNA from 1 species